AGCUUUCCCCUACAAACCUGGAAUCUUCUGAUACACCCAUUCAGAACCAGAGUCUGGAGCAAAUAUCAUUGCAAGACCAGAGAACCUUACUUGACCAGAGAGAGUGGGUGCCUUCGAGGGGGAUUUCAUUUCUGUGCUAUUCAGGUGUGUUCCAACCUUAGAAUCUGCAGGUCCUGCCCACGUUGCCAUCCAUCUGUCUUCAGACCAUCCCAUAGGAUUAUCUACCACAGCUUCUGAGCAAUCCCAUAAUGUUCUGUGGGAUGCUGUUAUGUGGAGGAGAUGACUUCGUAGCUGUAAAGUAGCCAUAGAUGUGCUGCAGAGAGACAAAUGCAUAAUCUGAAAGCGCCAUCAUACUGUGCAUGAACAGUGUGACAACAGGAUGGCUCUUGAGAUGAUUCAUUGGGAUCAUAAAUACCAGCAUUCAGGAGCAGGGCCCUCACUAUGAGCACAGAGCUUGGCUUCUGGUAAUGUCAAAUAGAGAAUCUGGGGUGCUGGAUAGAGUGUGGUAGGAAAAAUGGAUGAAGAGAGCUGUGUUCCUAGAGUGACUAAAAUCUUGCAGUGCUUAUAACCCAGGCACAAAGGAUAUUAUGGGAUCUCUGGAGAUACCUGUGAGAAACAAGCAGAAUUGUCCUGUGUUCCUCCCUUCUUUUUGCUCUCAUCAAUGAUGGCAAGUCUUCCCCCUCCCGUAGUGUCCUUUCCUCAAAGCUGUCAGAUGGACAGCACUUGCA